GGCCUAGGGUGGUGUAGUGGUUUGAGUGCUGAACUACAACUCUAGGGACUAGGGUUCGAUUCCCAGCUUGGCCA